rnacentral:rRNA from 1 species
ACUCUUCGGAGGGAAGUGAAGGGAAUGAGCGGCGGACGGGUGAGUAACACGUAAGGAACCUGCCCCAAGGAUUGGGAUAACUCCGAGAAAUCGGAGCUAAUACCGAAUAGUUCUUCAGACCGCAUGGUCUGAUGAUGAAAGGCGCUCCGGCGUCACCUUGGGAUGGCCUUGCGGUGCAUUAGCUAGUUGGUGGGGUAAUGGCCCACCAAGGCGACGAUGCAUAGCCGACCUGAGAGGGUGAUCGGCCACACUGGGACUGAGACACGGCCCAGACUCCUACGGGAGGCAGCAGUAGGGAAUCUUCCACAAUGGACGAAAGUCUGAUGGAGCAACGCCGCGUGAGUGAUGAAGGUUUUCGGAUCGUAAAACUCUGUUGUAAGGGAAGAACAGGUAUGAGAGGUAAUGCUCAUGCUAUGACGGUACCUUACGAGAAAGCCACGGCUAACUACGUGCCAGCAGCCGCGGUAAUACGUAGGUGGCAAGCGUUGUCCGGAAUUAUUGGGCGUAAAGCGCGCGCAGGCGGCCUUUUAAGUCUGAUGUGAAAGCCCCCGGCUCAACCGGGGAGGGUCAUUGGAAACUGGAAGGCUUGAGUACAGAAGAGAAGAGUGGAAUUCCAUGUGUAGCGGUGAAAUGCGUAGAGAUGUGGAGGAACACCAGUGGCGAAGGCGACUCUUUGGUCUGUAACUGACGCUGAGGCGCGAAAGCGUGGGGAGCAAACAGGAUUAGAUACCCUGGUAGUCCACGCCGUAA